AUUGAACGCUGGCGGCAUGCUUUACACAUGCAAGUCGAACGGCAGCGCGGGCUUCGGCCUGGCGGCGAGUGGCGAACGGGUGAGUAAUGCAUCGGAACGUGCCCAGUAGUGGGGGAUAGCCCGGCGAAAGCCGGAUUAAUACCGCAUACGACCUGAGGGUGAAAGCGGGGGACCGAAAGGCCUCGCGCUAUUGGAGCGGCCGAUGUCGGAUUAGCUAGUUGGUGGGGUAAAGGCUUACCAAGGCGACGAUCCGUAGCUGGUCUGAGAGGACGACCAGCCACACUGGGACUGGAACACGGCCCAGGCGCCUACGGGAGGCAGCAGUGGGGAAUUUUGGACAAAGGGGGCAACCCUGGUACAGCCAUGCCGCGUGCGAGGAGAAGGCCUUCGGGUUGUGAACCGCUUUUGUUCGGGAAGAAAUCCUCUGGGCUAAUACCCCGGGGGAAUGACGGUACCGGAUAAAUAAGCACCGGCUAACUACGUG
rnacentral:rRNA from 1 species